GAUGAACGCUGGCGGUAUGCUUAACACAUGCAAGUCGAACGGUCACUUCGGUGAUAGUGGCGGACGGGGGAGUAACGCGGGGGGAUCUGUCUUCAGGUCGGGGACAACAGUUAGAAUUGCCUGCUGAUACCGGAUGUGCUUUUGGGUGAGAGAUUUAUUGCCUGAAAAAGAGCUCGCGGCAGAUUAGCUAGUAGGUGGUGUAAGAGACUACCUAGGCUCCGAUGUGUAGCUGGUCUGAGAGGACGAGCAGCCACACUGGAACUGAGACACGGUCCAGACUCUUACGGGAUGCAGGAGUGGGUAAUUUUCCCCAAUGGGCGAAAUGCUGACGGUCCAAGACCUGGUGAGGGACGAAGGCUUGGGGGUCGUAAAGCACUUUUAUCAAGUAAGAUGAUGACGUUACUUGAGGAAUAAGCACCGGCUAACUCCGUG
rnacentral:rRNA from 1 species